UACGUAGGGUGCAAGCGUUGUCCGGAAUUAUUGGGCGUAAAGAGCUCGUAGGCGGUCUGUUGCGUCGGCUGUGAAAACCCGAGGCUCAACCUCGGGCCUGCAGCCGAUACGGGCAGACUAGAGUUCGGCAGGGGAGACUGGAAUUCCUGGUGUAGCGGUGAAAUGCGCAGAUAUCAGGAGGAACACCCGUAGCGAAGGCGGCACUCUGGGCCGAUACUGACGCUGAGGAGCGAAAGCGUGGGGAGCGAACAGG
rnacentral:rRNA from 1 species